rnacentral:lncRNA from 1 species
CAGAGCGAGAUUCCAUCUAAAAAAAAAGAAAGAAAAAAGAAAAGAAACAUUUGUUUUAUAAUCUGUUGCUUAUACAUUCCUGGAGAUUAGUACACCCAUGUGAUGUCUUUCCAAUAUAUCACUUCUCUAUGGAGUUGAUCAAGAUCAGCAAGCAUGACUUCAUUCUCCUUCUAUCCCCGGCUCUCAUGCAGUGUCUGGUGCACAGCAGAUGUGCAGCAAAUCCUGAAUUACAACAUCACUCAGGAGCUGUGGGCACUAAUAUACACAUGAUGAUACUUAAUUCUCUCAGAAAACCUUUGGCAAAGACACUUUCUACAUCUUGAAGGCAAGGAAUCUGAAUCUUGAAGAGAUUAAAUGAAUUGUCCAAAGUCACGUGGGGGUUUGGGAGAAGGAAAAUCAUGAACACACAUUCUUCUACUCUGGAGAAGUGGGGAAGGUGACCUGGGAAACCAUCUGAAAGGGAGCAGGAUGGAUUCUAUAAAAUAUAGAGUGUUCAAUGAAAACAACCUGAUGCUCCUCCCAGUACCAUCACAUUUUUCUAGCUGCAUAUCCUUAGGAACCACAUUCUACUUGUGUAGGAGCUGCGACAGUAACCAACUCAUCCUGCCCUACUCACAGUAUAGCAUCUUUAGGCAUUGACUACAAUCAGCCAAGUCACCGGCUGAGGGGAAGAACAAGAACCAACCUUGAACUAUGAUCUAAGACAAGUUCCUCAAGAACUCUGUAGGAGUCAUCAUUACCUCAUUUAGUCUCCUCAGCAACAAAUAAGAGAAAUAUUAUCUCCAUUUUACAGAAGCACAGACUGCAGAGAUUGAGUUCCCCCAGGAGCACACAAGCUGUACUGUACCUAAGGUCCUAAAACAUAUUGGUGAUAUGGAAGGUAGACAAAAUGGCCAAAUAGAAGCCUUCACCCAUUGUUCUCCCUGCAGAAACACUAAAUUGAACAACUAUCCACACAUAAAUCACCUUCAUAUGAAGCAAAAAUCAGCCACAUUAAACAAUGAUGAGUUCAAAUGGAAACAUACAGCCUUUCAACACUGGCUCCAAGAGAUGGCAUCUAGAAGAAACAGACUGAUUCUGCAGAGUUCUGAAGGGAGCAGGUGACUUAGCAAUUCUGUCUUCAGUUUCUCUGUGAACAUCAUCAAUGUUUUCCUGUGCUCCAGUUGUCAAACUUCAUCAGCGAAAUGUUGGGGUCAUUUAAAGCUGCUGCUUUGCAUUCACUGAAACGACUAACAACCACAAGGAAACAUGAUUUCUCCGACAGCAAUGAAUAAAACAAUUGCCUGACUAAAGAGGAGAUAUCCUCUUUAGAUAAAACGACUGAAGACCCAUUACCAAAAUAGGGAAAAAGAAACAAUCUCUAUGAAAGAGUUUCAAAUAAAAAUAUGUAGGUGCUUUGGA